rnacentral:rRNA from 1 species
UACGUAGGGGGCUAGCGUUGUCCGGAAUCAUUGGGCGUAAAGCGCGUGUAGGCGGUCCGGUAAGUCCGCUGUGAAAGUCGGGGGCUCAACCCUCGGAUGCCGGUGGAUACUGUCGGGCUUGAGUACGGAAGAGGCGAGUGGAAUUCCUGGUGUAGCGGUGAAAUGCGCAGAUAUCAAGGAGGAACACCAAUUGCGAAGGCAGCUCGCUGGGACGUUACUGACGCUGAGACGCGAAAGCGUGGGGAGCAAACAGG